GGAAGGAUCAUUAGUGAAUUUGUAGCCUUCAAGGCUCACAUUCUCUAUCCUUUUACACACCUGUGCACCCUUCUGAAGCGGAGAGUUAUUAGGCGUUAGCCGAGCGCCUCCCUUCGGUUAUUAUAUCAAACUCUAACCACGUUUACUAGAGCGUAUUACCGUCUUGUUGUAACGACAAGUACAAUCCAAUAAAACUUUCAGCAACGGAUCUCUUGGCUCAGGCAUCGAUGAAGAACGCAGCGAAAUGCGAUAAGUAAUGUGAAUUGCAGAAUCCAGUGAAUCAUCGAAUCUUUGAACGCAACUUGCGCCCUCUGGUAUUCCGGAGGGCAUGCCUGUUUGAGUGUCGUGAACACCUCAACCCUCCAAUGUUUUUUUUUGCAUUGCAGGUGUUGGUAGUGAGCGCUGCUGGUCUUUGGAUCGGCUCGCUUUAAAAUCAUUAGCUGGAUCCAUUCUGACCUGGUUCUACUCGGCGUAAUAAGUUAUUAUCGUCGAGGACGCCUGGCCUUUGUAGGCAGGGCGGCCACAGUAAGGGUGUUUGAACCGCUUCCAACACGUCUUGCUCUUGUAGCAAACACUUGAACCUCUGACCUCAAAUCAGGCAGGACUACCCGCUGAACUUAAGCAUAUCAAUAAGCGGAGGAAAAGAAACUAACAAGGAUUCCCCUAGUAACGGCGAGUGAAGCGGGAACAGCUCAAAUUUGAAACCUGGCGUCCUUCGGGCGUCCGGAUUGUAUUCUAGAGAAGCGUCUUCCACGCUGGUCCAUGUAUAAGUGCCCUGGAACGGGCUGUCAUAGAGGGUGAGAAUCCCGUCCUUGACGUGGGCUACCAGUGUUUCUGCGAUGCGCUUUCUAAGAGUCGAGUUGUUUGGGAAUGCAGCUCAAAGUGGGUGGUAAAUUCCAUCUAAAGCUAAAUAUUGGCCUGAGACCGAUAGCGAACAAGUACCGUGAGGGAAAGAUGAAAAGCACUUUGAAAAGAGAGUCAAACAGUACGUGAAAUUGCUGAAAGGGAAACGCUUGAAGUCAGUCGCGCCCCCUGGAAUUCAGCCCUGCUUUUGUAGGGUGUACUUUCCAGGGGGCGGGCCAACAUCAGUUUUGACCGGCAGAUAAAGGCCGGGGGAAUGUGGCUCCUUUGGGAGUGUUAUAGCCCCCGGUCGCAUAUGCCGGUUGGGACUGAGGAACGCAGCGCGCCCUUGUGGCAGGCCUUCGGGCACUUUCGCGCUUAGGAUGUUGGCAUAAUGGCUUUAAGCGACCCGUCUUGAAACACGGACCAAGGAGUCUAACAUAUCUGCGAGUAUUUGGGUGGCAAACCCGAGUGCGCAAUGAAAGUGAAUGCAGGUGGGAAGCGCAAGCUGCACCAUCGACCGGUCUGGAUUUUUAAUGAUGGAUCUGAGUAAGAGCAUAUAUGUUGGGACCCGAAAGAUGGUGAACUAUGCCUGAAUAGGGCGAAGCCAGAGGAAACUCUGGUGGAGGCUCGUAGCGAUUCUGACGUGCAAAUCGAUCGUCAAAUUUGGGUAUAGGGGCGAAAGACUAAUCGAACCAUCUAGUAGCUGGUUCCUGC
rnacentral:misc_RNA from 1 species